rfam:Leclercia adecarboxylata strain I1 Leclercia_S84_R1__paired__contig_41, whole genome shotgun sequence.
UAUAAGGAGUGAUUGCGUUAGCAGCGGUUUAUGCUAACCAACUGCCGGGAGAGUAUUACCCCUUUAGAGGGAGUGGGUAUUGCCUGAUGUCAAAAGCGAGGCAUAAAAAAAGCGCCCGCAGGCGCUUUUUUACAUUU